GUCCAAGUUGAUCUAGGACUGCUGAAGAUUAGAAAAAAUAAUAAUAAUAAUUAAAACAACCAUUAUCAUUCAAUUCAUUCACUAAUUAUAACAUCCACAAAUUUAUUCAAUCAUAACAUUAACAGCUCAAAUAGAAUAAAACUGCCCAAUAAAAGAAAAAGAACAGCAAGACAAAAAGGAGACCAAGUACAUGUGCUUACAGGUUCACUCAUACUCUAGUCUAUAGCUUCCUUAAAAUUCCUAAAACAGCAAGCAGUGGCAAUAAUAUAGCCUCACAAUAAAUCAACAAUUAUAAUGAUGAUGAUUGCAGUAGCAGCCAUUACAAAUACCAAUGUUUAAACAUGAAAAUUUCAUCAUCAUAACACAUUUCUAGUUACAUCAAAAUUUGUUGAAUGUUAAACGGAGAACAUACCAUUGGAAGUUGUCAAAUCUUGA
rnacentral:misc_RNA from 1 species